rnacentral:rRNA from 1 species
GUGGGGAAUAUUGGACAAUGGGCGAAAGCCUGAUCCAGCCAUGCCGCGUGUGUGAAGAAGGUCUUCGGAUUGUAAAGCACUUUAAGUUGGGAGGAAGGGCAGUAAGUUAAUACCUUGCUGUUUUGACGUUACCGACAGAAUAAGCACCGGCUAACUUCGUGCCAGCAGCCGCGGUAAUACGAAGGGUGCAAGCGUUAAUCGGAAUUACUGGGCGUAAAGCGCGCGUAGGUGGUUUUGUAAGUUGGAGGUGAAAUCCCCGGGCUCAACCUGGGAACUGCCUCCAAAACUGCAUGACUAGAGUACGGUAGAGGGUAGUGGAAUUUCCUGUGUAGCGGUGAAAUGCGUAGAGAUCUGGAGGAAUACCGAUGGCGAAGGCAGCCAUCUGGCCUAAUACUGACACUGAGGUGCGAAAGCAUGGGGAGCAAACAGGAUUAGAUACCCCUGUAGUCC